rnacentral:lncRNA from 1 species
GGCUUGUUGCGCAGUAUGUUAUCAAUCUCAUUUACCACAUGUGAUGUCAUCUUUGGGAGAACCUGAGAGCAGGAGGAGAAGUACAAAGGAUAUUGUUAGCAGUGUUGAUCAUUCGGUUUUUUGUGCUCUAUAUUUAGCAAAGUAAUCUAGAAUCAUAUAUCUUCAUAAACCACAGCUGAAAUCUAAGCCCCCCGCCCCCAACACCAUCACAUUGUAAGCUCCUUGAGGUCAGGGGCCUUGUUGAUUGACUGCAUAAAUGAAGGCAUAAAGGCAUAAGUGAAGGCUCAUAGAAAUACAGAGCAGCUCUAUCCAACAGAAAUAUAAUGCAAGCCACAUUUGUAAUUUAAAAUUUUCUAUUAGAUACCUUAAAAAGAACAGUGAAAUUAAUACAUGUUUUUACUUCAUUAUAUCCAAAACAUUAUUUCAACAUGUAAUCAAUAUAGAAAAGAUACUUGACAGUUGUUUUUGGUACUAAGUCACAUCUUGUGAACAUGUUACACUUAAAGCACAUCUCUGUUUGGACUCACCAUCUUUCCCGCAUACAAUAGCCACAUGUGGCUAGAACCAUAGUAGUACACAGCACAGGUCUAGAGACUAAGGAGAGAUUUAUUCUGACUGGUGGUCUUAUCCCUGGUGAAGGAUGGCUGGGGUUUAACAGGCAUCCCAGGUAGAUGGAAUAGCAUGGAAAAGUGAACUGGAGUGAUAGUAUACAGUGAUUGGUGUAGGUGUGGGGAUGCUAAGAACAGGAUACGGAUGGUAAGAAUGGGAUAAGAGUGUGGAAAGCCUUGAAUGCCAUUUUAUGGAGUCCCCACUUUAGGCAGUGGGGAACCUGUCAGGACUUCUGAUCUAGGAGUAACCCUAUCAGACACCUGGAGGUAGUUUGAAGGAUGAGCUGGAGGAGGUGGAAAGGGGACACAGAUAUUAGAUAUGUAUUACAAUCCAAGCCAGGCAAUAGGGCCUUAACUAGGGCAGUGGAGCAGAAAAGUGGACCUGAGAGACAUUUUGGGGGAAGAUGGUGGUUUCAAGACUGAGUAACUAGAAGUAUAUUGGUAUUGAUUAUUGAGAUUAGAAACCAAAGGAGAAGUAGUUUGGGGAAUAAGAAGUUGGGAGAGAAUAGGAUGUGUUGAGUGUAAAGUGCCUGUGGAAUAUCCACCUAGGAGUGACUGAGCAGCUGCAAGUGCAGCUGUGGAGCUUAGUAGCUGCCGGAGGACUGGAGUUGAGGGUUUGUGAGUCAUUUGCACCGACAUGCUGACUGAAGCCCCGGGAAAGGAUGAGCUCAUCCAAGGCUAGCAUUUACUGUGAGAAGUGGGCCAAGGGUACACAUUACACCAUAAGACAAGGGACAAAGGCAGACUUUCUCACUGGAAAAGUCUGACCCUGUGUGGAGACUGUGGUGAAAUACAAUUCUGACGACCAAUUCUGAGGUUUCAACCUCAUUCUUCCUUUGUUGCAAUCCUGCUGGCCAAGGUGACCUUGUCUCCAGUCAAGUGCUAUCCUCAGAAGCCUUAGGGUUUGGCAAAAUAGAGCUGCCAGCCUGGGAAACUUCAUUCUGGUUAAUGUUUUACUGUCUGAAGCUGAAGGAAGAAUUUGGUUUCCCACUAGCUCUGGAAUUUCAGUGUCCAAACAGCUAAUGUGUUAUUUAAAAUGAGAUUGUAACAAUGAGACCAAAAACCUAGAAACUGGAUUUGUUGGAUUUUUUUUUUUGUCUAAAAUACAGCGGGUUAGCCACGUGAGGAGAAGAAUCCUUCAUUCAUUACACCAAAGCAAAUCUCUAUAGGAAAGAGAUUUAAACAUUAAAAAAAUGAAACCAUAAAAGUACUCGAAUAAAACAAGACAUAGUAUCACAAGACCAGAAUUUUCAAGAGAAGCCCCACUUUGAAACAUUGUAAACUACUACAGAUUUUACAAACACCCCACAGGCUACUAGUUUUGCAAACUUGAUGUUACACUGCCUGGGAUAGGUGGUGGGUUGGGGGAGGUCUGGCUAAUGUUGCUGGGGCUGGCUGGGCAUUAGUAAAGUCCUCCCAGGAUUGGGUUCCUAUUGAUCUGGAACUUGGGGAUGGAGUAGGAUUUUGCUAGGCUGGGAUAGUGGUCAGUUUGUAGGCAGAGGGCCACUGUUAUCGCCGAAGCUCUGAGUGGUUGAGAGCGGCUCAAGAUUCAGAUUCCAGGAAGGUGUGGUGGGGAGUGAUGAGGCCCGACUGCUGUGGAGCCUGGCCUUCUCUGAUGGGUGAUGGGAAGCCUCAGAAGGGUUUUAAGGCAUGUGGGGAGGAGGGGGAGAGGCGGUUCUCCCACCUUUUAGGUGGGAGUGGGGAGGAUGGAACCUGUGCAGGUGAAGGUGGGCUGCCUGCAGCUGUGGUUUCUCCUCCUGUCUCUCCCAUCUGUCAGGCUCUGAUUUAUAUACGCCCCUUCGUUCCUGCACAUCUUAGGCACGUGGCAUCCCUUGAAGCAGCUGCCUUCCCAGCCUACUAGAAAUAUUUUCUUACAACUGCUGGUGCUCCGUAUUUUCCAUCCUUUUGCAGCCAGUGCCACCACUGCUGGGCACCCCUAGUCACCCAGUCUGCUUUUCACCAUGUUGUGGGGCCCAAUCACAACUCGUCUUGGGUGGACUUUAGUGCUGGGUAUGGGGGAGGUGAAGUAGAACAGGGGAGGAUUGGUAAGCCCGCAAUGGUAGCAGUCUUGCUGCAUGGAUAAUGUCCCCUUUAGGAUAGGCAAAGCCUCAUCCUGCUGCCAGCCAAAGCCUUGCUAGGGAGGAAAUGUUUUGGGAAGAAAAAUUACUCAAGAGUUUUCCUCUGAAAUGUGUCCCCUUCCCUGUCAGCUGCCUUGCCUAUUUCCACAGCUUUUAAAACUCAGCCCUAGACUUGCCUCAUAUGCCAUCCCUAGGCACUAUGACUGCCCCCAGGAAUGGCAGUGAUCUCCCUGUAUUAGCAUGAUAAAAAUCCUCAAUUCCUCCCUCUUCUGCCAAGCCAUGGUGUCUCUCUUUCCCAAACCUGCAGAAUCCAUCCAUUUCUCUCCCCCUCCAUGGCCACUACCCUCAUUCAAGCCACCAUCGCCUCCUGCCUGGAUGACUGCCCUUGCCCUUCAUUCUACUUUAUGCAUGGCAGCCAGAGUGACCUUCAGACAUUCAAAUAGGAGCAUGUCCCUCCUCUUAAAACCCUCCACAAGGACUUGUUACAUGUAGCAUGAACUCUAACCCCAUGGUGUCCUGCGAGACCUGGCCCUGCCUGUCUCUCCACGUCAGUGCAUCUGCUGUCCCUGUGCUCAACUACGUGUUGACCACAUUGGCCUUAGCUGGCAGUUCCUGGGAAAAGUCAAGGUCUUUCCCAUCUCAGGGCCUUUCCACUGCUCUUCCCUGUCCCUGGAAUGCACUUUCCUGGACUCUUCACAUGCUGUGUGAAGACUUGUGAAUGGUUGUCAAAGAAUGUAAAAAAUGAAGGCACAUGAAGCCCUCGGAAUAAACAUAUUCCAGAGGGGCUUUUUGCAAAAACAUUUAAUGUAGGCUCACCCAUUUCUCAGUCUCAGUAAAAUAAACAUUUAUUUACUUAAUAGCCCUUUUCAUAACCUGAAAUCAUUUUGCUAUUUAUCUGUCUCUCCUACUGGCACGUAAAACAUCCCUUGAAGGUUAGACAGUGUUUUUCUUCUUUCCUGUGUUAUCUCCAGUACCUGGUAUACAAUAGGCUCUCAAAGAUCUGUUGAAUGAAUUAAGGGAUAGAUAUUUUAAUUCACUGUUUCUCAGCCAGCACAUGAGCUCUUUGAAGGCCAGGUCCUGUUCUUACUCAUCUCAGUCCUCCCACUGCCUAGCACGAUGCCAGGCAUAGAAUAAGUGCUCCAUAAAUAUUAGUGAAACUGAAAUCAUUGGAUUGAAUUUCAGUUCUUUUUUGUACAAACUGUUCUGUCCCCUCAUCACUGUGUACCCUUAUCUUUUCCCAGAGCAUAAAUGAACAUAAGAGGGAGAAUUCCUCACGUAGCUACAGGGAACCUCACAGAAUCCAGUAGGAGUUAUGGGGCUGGAUAUGGGAGUUGUUAGAAGCAGAGAGGCAGAGGUGAUUACACGGCUGCACAGUCCUAAGAAAGGUUGGGGGAAUGGGCAGGGAUCUAUACCAUUUAUUCCACAGUGUAUUCUGGGCUAUUUUUAAAAAAGAUUUUAAAUCAUGUUUGUUGCUACCUCCACCUGUUUCCUUUUGGGAAUGGUAACAGGGCUGUGUGCUUGUUGCAGGGACAGGUAGAUAGGGAAGAAGCUGUGAGACAGUUCUUUUCCUCCAUGAGCAAGAGAAAAAUAGAUAACCUUACCAGGUAGUGGCUAUGGCAGGAAUUGUGGGCAGGAUCGUUCCUAGGGCUUUUAGCAGGGUUGAGAGUAGGAUAGGCUCAGGACUAGUUGUGGCCUUUGGGGAAAGGAGGUGGUCACAAUAGAUACUAAACUCCACCCCUCUAGUUAGAGCUCCCAGGAACAUCCUUUCAACCCACCCACUGCCACUACAGGCUCCCCAGAAUAUGGCUGCAGGCCCCAUCUAGUGCCCUGGACCAGUGGCCAUCUCAUGGGAUAGGGAAUGGGGAUGGGCCUCCUAAAUUUGCUUCUAGGGAGAUGUGAUCCUGGAAGUCCAAAAUAGAAUUUUGAGCCCAUUUCUCUUAAAACAUGGCAAAUAUUUAUUCAAUAGAUCUUGAGUGUUAACUAAGGGACAUGUAGUAAGUACCCUAGGAACUGGAAAACCGUGGAAAAGCAAAGACACAGGUCUGACCUCAGAGGGCUUGCAGUCCAACAGGAGAGACAGGCAGUUAUACUACAUUAUCAUAAAAGAUCAUGGGAGGGGGAAUACAAGAUGUUCAGGGAACAGCAAGAAGGGGCUCAGCACACAGCAGGUGGGCAAUAUUUGUGGAAAGAACAAACAAGUAAAUGAUGUAUGUAUAUUGUCCUAUGACUUAAAUUUCCAAGCAAGUUAUCAGGCCGGCUUUUAUGGCGAGGCCUGGGAAGUCAGUUGCCACGUAUAACACUGCAAUGCACUCUUCCACAGAAACAAACCAUCCCAAGAAAUGAGCUUUGGGAAUACUGCCUGUUCAUAGGCAGAGGACAACCCUGGAUCCAUGUACUGGGAAAGUGUUCUGUUGCCUUUGUUCCCCCUACUCUUGCCCCACCCAGGACAGAGAGGGGGAGAGAUGGGACACUGCCUGGAGAUAGCCUCAAAGGCACCAUUAAAUUCCCUGAUGUUGGAAGGGGCUGCAGUACUUGCCUGAAUGGCACCAAGGUUUUCAAUGAGUUGUUCAGGAGUGGAUGAUCCCAGGAGCACAGAACUCACACCUUCAUUUCUCAGGCACCACGCUGGGAGGAGAGGACACUGGGUCAGUUUAUCAAAGCACUUCCAAUCGUUGAUUAGCUUAUAAACACCUGCUACAGCUGUUUGUUGCAGCCAAAAUUUAUUAACUUCUUUUUGUGGAGGAUGUACAGUGCUUCCUAGGAUUAAAAACCUGAGCAGCACCCCCUGUUGUGUAGAAGAUUUGACAGAAUCUGUCAAAGCCCAGCUGGGAGGGGAAAUGCAAAUGCAUAGAGGCGCUGGACAAUGGAUUGUAAGAUUCUCUCCAGCACGCUCAGCUGCCCUCAAGUAGAAGCAGAAAACACAGAUGCACUGCUGUCUUUCUUGCUUCUCCGCUGGUUUUCCAAUUGCUAGCCUACUAUAUGUCUCUUAAUUAACACUCAAUGCAUUUGGGUUGGCUCGGGGCUUAAGGCCUUUUUGCUUUCCACAUAAGGCCCUGUCACCUCAACCAGGGCAUUCAAGCUACCCACCCUAGAAACACAUUGUUCCUGGAAACACCUAACACUGCUCACCAGCAGAUGGCUGGAUUCCUGUUUCUACCUUGGCCCACAACCUCCUGUCUUUCCACUGUAUUCAUGGUCUCAUUUUCCACAUCUGUUGCUUGGAACUCUUGUAGACUCUAGGUUUCUGGUUCCUUGGUUCCCACCUACCUGGCAGCCCUCUCUGGACCUCCCUUUCUUCCUAACCCAAGAUUCAUCCUGUGUUGAUGAUCUAAAUUACUCUCUUAUGAACCCUCACACCCCUCACUUCUUCUGCUUCCUUAGCAAAUCCCCAUCAGUGCUGCAUCUGCGUUUUUGGCUUCUACUUCAGGGUAGCUGAGCGUGCUAGAGAGAAUCUCACAGUUCAUGGUCUGGUGCCCCUAUGCGUUCACGUCUUCCCUCCCAGCUGGCUUUAGCCAGCCUGGCCAGCCUCACUCUUGCCCUUGGUCAUCUUUCUUUUCCCGAAAAUGACCUUAAACCUGUACUCUUAAACCAUCCCAUCAACCCCUGCCCCCUCACUCUUAGUAGAUGACCUUGUCCUAAUGUCUAUAGAAAAUCAAGUCCCUCCAUUGGAAUAUUCCUUAAUUCCCCACUCUCCUGCUGCAUAAGCAUCCACAUCCAUAUCCUCCAGUUUCAGAAGAGGAUGUGUGCGGUUUCUGUCCAAGACCAAACUCUGCCUUGGAGAUAUCUCCUUUUUGCCUUUUCUUGGACUUGAUUCAUACAUGAUCCCACCGCCCCCAUCACCCCAUUUCAAAAUUUCUUACUGUGUCUUUCUGUCAACAAAACAUGCUAAAAUUUCUCCCAUUCUAGAAUAGGCUUCCUCUGACCCUUUUUACCUGCUUAGAUACUGCCCCAACCUUCUUCCCCUCUUAAACUUCUAAAAGGUCAGUCCAGAUUCCCUUACUGAUCUUCUUCACAUCCCAGUCACCUUCUUGCUGUGUCCAGAAGCUAAGGUCCCCAGGAGCCUGCUGGUGAUUACAGUGGACUUCUGAGUCCUUAGCUGCCUGGAACUCAGUGUUGCUGGACUCAUAGAUGCAGUGUCUGCUGGGCCUUCCUGCUAGAUGCCCCACCAGCACCGCAAACUUCUUGCUAUAAUGCCUGGCCUUCUUGCAUUCCCAAUCACAUUUGGGGGCAUCACCAGCAAUGUGGCUCCCCAAUCUGGAAACCUGGGAGUACUCUUUAAGAACUGUCCUGUUCUGACCCCCUUUUCCCUUUUAACUGCUAAGUCCAGUUGAUUAUUCCUCCUAAAUAUUCCUCUAAUCAAGUGGUUUUCAAACUUUGGUAUGCAUCAGAAUCAUCCAGAGGGCCUGUGAAACACCCAUUGUUAUGGCUCACCCGCUGAGUUUCUGAUUCAGGUCUGGGGUGCAGUCUGUGCAUUUUUAACACACUCCUAGGUAAUGCUUAUGCUGAUGCUGCUAUCUGGGACCAUGCUCUUUUUUUUUUUUUAACCAACUUUAUUGAGGUAAAAUUUAUACAUCAAAAAUUUUACCCAUUUUAGGUGUACAUUAAAUAAUUUUUAUAAAUUUACCAACCAUCAUUUUUAAGGUGCAACCUUCACCAUUUUUAAUGCAGUUUUAUAACAUUUCCAUCACCCUAAUAAGAUCCCUACCUCAAGUACCAGGCAGCCACUGAUCUACUUUUUGUCUCCAGAUUUGUCUUUUCUGGACAUUUCAUCUAAAUGGAAUCAUACAAUAGGUGGUCGUUUGUGUCUGGUUUUCACUUAGCAUAUGUUUUCUAGGUUUUUCCGUGUUGCACUAUGUACCCGUAUACCAUUUCUUUUUGUUGCUAAAGAGUAUUCCAUUGUGUGGAUACAGGGCUCAGUUUGACAAUGACUGCUUUGGUUCAGCUGUCUUCUCCGGUUCAGCUGUCUUCUCCUCCUCAGUCACUGCUGCCCUCACUCAGGCCCUCACCAUCUCUCUCCUGGAUAACUGGUUUUCCUACCUCUUGCUUGAAUUGUCCCCUUAUAUUUCCCCCAUACAGCUCUCAUCCAGCCAGCAGCAGUCUCUCUAAACACAAAUCUGAUCAUAUCACUUCCCUAGCUAGUGCCUGACAUAACUCAUUGUCCUGUAAGAUGAGGUUCUUAAUUCUUACCUUGGCAAACCUUAUUUUCUAGCCUACCUCUGCAGCUUCAUGGCUCCCUACCUUGAACUUUGUGCUUCAGGAGCACUCACCUGUCUUUAAAUCCUCUCCAUCUCCAAGCAUCUUGCUGCUUUUCUCCUCUUCCUCUCCCUUCAUUCUGGGGCACAUUGCUCAAGCUGUUCCUUUUGCCUGGAAUGUCCUUUUGCCUUCCCCUUUCUUUUUGCCUCACUAAUAUUUGCCUGUCAUUUGAGAUUCCCCAAAGGUAUUGCCUGCUCCUAAAGUACUUCCCUGAAUUCCAAGCUCCUACUCUAAUUCCCUUAUCCCCUGUUCCCUUCUUAAUAUGAUGACCUGUAUUAAAAUUAUCUGUUUAUUUUCUUGACUUGCCCACCAGGCUGUGAGGUAUGCCUUAUUUGCAGUUGGAUGCUCAGCCACCAGCCCAGUGUCUUGCACAAAGUAGGAACUUAUUAAAUGUUUGUUGAAUAAACAUAGGCAUGGAUGAUUGAUGGAUGUCCCCAAGCACAUCUUCUGCCCCCAUUUGGACAGCCAUAUUGUCAACUGAUACUCUUAAGCUGUUACCGUGUCCAGGCCUUUUAUGGUAAUCACUGAAUUUCCACAUGGGCAAAAUACAAAAUAGUGCUGUAUAAAAGUACCAAUCCAAUCUUUCUCUCUCUUUUUUUUUUUUUUGACUGCAUUAUUUGCUGCUUUGCACUGAGAACUAUUUUUGGCCUUAAAGGUAGUUCUGAGGACAAAGCAGGUUCUAGGUAAAUUAUUGCCCAUAAACUACCUGACUACUCGAGGUCACCAACAGCUGAUUCCCCUAAUGGGCCUGUAGGGCACAGGAGAACCCACUGGGCAGAGCUGGUUACUUCCAUGGUAGCAACUGCAGCUGAUUCUGGAUAAUUAGCACCUCUAACCAAGUGUCACUAGCAAGUAUGUCCAGAGUGCCUGUUCACUAAGAACAAAGUAUGAAUGCUGGCUCCAGUAUACCUGUGUGACUUGGGGAGCAGGCACACAGUUGGGUUCAAGUAGUUUGCUUUCUGCCGGAGGAUCCCUCUCCCACACUCUCCUAGCAGAUCAAAGAUAACGUGCCUGGAAAUAAUUUCCCUUUUGAUUCUGAGAGUUUUGUGGCUAUAAACAAAAUUAUUUAUUUACAAAGAAAGAAGUGACAGGUGAGAAAGACAUCUGAGAGGACAGGAGGAAAAGGGGAAAAAAAGCAUGUUUUAAUUUAAACUCAGAUCCUGUAAAGAAGGCAUUUCAUGUAUAUCUAAUAUCUAGUAAGAGUCUAAAUCUUGUAAAGAUUUCCUCUGUAGAAAGAGAGUGUUCUUUCCUGUCUUUCAGGGCUAAGUUUAAUACUUCAUGUUACUAUCUAAAAACCAUAUAUGAUUGUGCAGAAUAUGUUUCUCUGCAUAUUACUCUGAUUGCUUGCCAUGGCUAAGAGCAGACAGAAUUUCAAGUUUUGCAUGUCUACUCUCUGCAAGAACAUUAUCAUCUUUAUUAGCACUCACUGAGCACCUACUUUUUGCUUUAUAUAUAUAAUUUCCCUUUACUCAACUAGUUUGUAAGAUAUGUAUUAUUAUACCCAUUUUACAGAUGAGAAAAUUGUUACCAGGUUAAGUAACUUGCCUGUGGUCAAAUAGCUAAUAUGUUUUACUGUGCUUGUUAAAGCUGUAGAGUUGCUAAGUAAUAACAUUAAAUACAUUGUUUGAUUUUAUUUUAUUUUUUGAAGAAAGGAUUAAAGCACCAGUCAUACAUAUACUACGGUACAUGGCAUUUUCCCCCCUCUAAAAUCACCUCCCAUUUCUAUCUUUCUAUGACUGCUAAUUGCAACUAACAUUUCUCUGCCUUCCAACCUCUGAAGAGUCAAGCUACCAACAAAUAUUCUAUUAAAUUAUUUUAUUUGCAUAGACCUUAUCUUGAGCUUUUUAUCUCAUUGGGUUAGUGUUUCUGAUAUGUCCCAAUUCCUGCUAUUUCUUAAUCUUUAGGAUUUUUUUUUUUUUGUCUAGAAUCAGCACCCAUUUUAUUCCUUUCUCAUAGCUACCACAUGAAUUCUUUUAUCUCAUUUCUUCAUUUAUAAGUGGAGAUAGUAAUAGAAAAUCCUCCACUAGCAUCGGUAAGAUAUGACUAGUAAUAGUAUAGACCUCCGCGGAUUGUUAUGGUGAUGAAGGAGACAAGACAGUGAGAGUGAGCCUGAGGUGCUUACUAUAGAACCUGACAAAUAUCCCCUAGUAAGGGAACCAGAAGUCUCAGGGCUUUUCUGCCCAGUGUGUAGCCUUUGGCAGCACGUGGCUAUUGAGCAUGCAACGUGUGUCUAGCCUGAAUUGGAAUGUGCUUGCUCUAGGUGUAAAAUAUAUGCUGGAUUUUGAAGAUUUGUAGAAAACAAAGUAAAAUAUCUCAAUUUUUAAUAUUUAUUACAUGUUGGAAUGAUAAUAUUUUGGCUAUAUUGGGUUAAAGAAAAUCCAUUAUUAAAAUUAAUUUCACAUGUUUCACUUUAAUGUUUUAAUGUGGUCACUAGAAAAUUUAAAAUAAGAUACAGUUAUGCAUCCCAUAGCGACAGGGACACGUUCUGAGAAAUGCAUUGUUAGGCGUUUUCCUCAUUGUGUGAACAUCAUAGGGUACUUAUGCAAACCUAGUUGGUAUAGCCUACUGCACAUCUAGGCUAUAUGGGAUAGCCUAUUGCUCCUAGGUUCCAAAUCUGUACAGCAUGUUACUGUACUGAAUACUAUAGGCGGCUGUAACACAUGGUGUUGUGUAUCUAAACAUAGAAAAGGUAUGGUAAAAAUAUGGUAUAAAAUGGUAUACCUGUGUAGGGCACUUACCAUGACUGGAGCUUGCAGGACUGGGAGGUGCUUUGGGUGAGUCAGUGAGUGAGUGGUGAGUGAAUGUGAAGGCCUGGGACAUUCUUGUACACUACCAUAGACUUUGUAAACACUGUGCACUUAGGCUACACUAAAUUUAUUUUUAAGAUUUUUCUUUCUUCAAUAAUAAAUUAACAUUAGCUAACUGUAACAUUUUUACUUUAUAAACUUUUAAUUUAAAAAAGCUUUUGGUUGGCCACCGUGCCCAGCCGCGUGUGGUUUUCAAUUGUUACCAGCAAUCAUGACCUUUCAUGGACUCCACAGCAUUAGAAGAACAACGUUUAUGGCCUUCAAGAACUUUCAGGGUGAAGCUAUUUCUCUAGGAUCAGCUUUUCAUGUGGCAGUAGCCUUGGGCCUGUCACAGCCCUGUAUCUCAUCUUCUCACCAACCCUGGUUUAGUUUUCAACAGACAGAAAUUUGAGCCAGAAGAAAUGGAUGUCACUACACAGUUCACCCCUGACAUCUGUGAUAGUGUAUGUUAUCACUGACAUGUUCUCAUUUAAACUAUGUUAUAAGAGCAAGGAGAAAGAAGUAAGAAAAAUUUGCUAUCAUGUAGAAAAUUCUGGGGAACCUCAAAUAACUCACUUUAUAUUUAGCAGGAGUUUAUGCUUCAGAGAUCAUCUGUCCCUGCAAUAGACAUUUUAUCAUGGUAAGGGUGUGGUCAGCAAUAGAAAACUAUGAUCUCAGCAGAAGUCCCUCUACCACCCCAUAGCUUAGUAAUUUUCUUACCAACAGCUAGCUGAGGUAGUGUGCAUCCCAGACGCUCCGCAAUUGGGGAAAGGUCUUUUAGCUUGUUUUGCUGUUUUCUCCCUUCUUCACUUACAAUUCUUUCUUUCAACCACUGGUAGCACUGGGGAAAAGCAUAACAUUGAAAUGUUAAUGUCUGGUAAAGAUCUGAUGUCAAAGAAUGGUAAUUCAAUAAAAUAUGUGAACCUCAUAAU